rnacentral:tRNA from 1 species
GGCAAGGUGGCGGAGCGGUUACGCAGCGGUUUGCAAAACCGUACCACACGGGUUCGAAUCCCGUCCUUGCCUCCA